rnacentral:rRNA from 1 species
UGCUAAUUGCCGGGCAUUUGAUCGAUAUACUAUUGUGAACAUACCUACUGUUGCUUCGGCGGGAUUGCCCCGGGCGCCUCGUGUGCCCCGGAUCAGGCGCCCGCCUAGGAAACUCAACUCUUGUUUUAUUUUGGAAUCUUCUGAGUAGUUUUUACAAAUAAAUAAAAACUUUCAACAACGGAUCUCUUGGUUCUGGCAUCGAUGAAGAACGCAGCGAAAUGCGAUAAGUAAUGUGAAUUGCAGAAUUCAGUGAAUCAUCGAAUCUUUGAACGCACAUUGCGCCCGCCAGUAUUCUGGCGGGCAUGCCUGUCUGAGCGUCAUUUCAACCCUCAUGCCCCUAGGGCGUGGUGUUGGGGAUCGGCCAAAGCCCGCGAGGGACGGCCGGCCCCUAAAUCUAGUGGCGGACCCGUCGUGGCCUCCCCUGCGAAGUAGUGAUAUUCCGCAUCGGAGAGCGACGAGCCCCUGCCGUUAAACCCCCAACUUUCCAAGGUUGACCUCAGAUCAGGUAGGAAUACCCGCUGAACUUAAGCAUAUCAAUAAGCGGAGAAAA